rnacentral:lncRNA from 1 species
UGAACAUUAUCAUUUUGACAGUAGCUGCAAUAGACACUUGAUAGUAGAAAUAAACCAUAUUACAUUUUGUGAUAUCAAUAAGAGAAGGAAAUUUGUAAAGAUGAAUAUGGUUGUUACCACUGUAGAGUAGAAUGUUGAAGAUCAUAUUUCACACAUCAUGGAUGAUAUGUUAGAAACAAAAGCUAAGCUUGGAAUUGCA